CGGCAUCCGAUUUUGUCAAGAUCCGAAAGAGCAGAGUUUGGUGGGAUGGCACAGUCGAGUUGCAAUAAUCUCCGCAACGCCGCGAUUGCGCUUCUUGUUCCUCUCCCUUCACUUUUCUUCUAUCUCUCCUUCCUCCGCCGCACAGAAUCAUCACCCGAUUCACUCUCUCCCCUCUGGGCGUGGUGCUACCACCACCCUCUUCUCUUAGCCAACGCUCUCUUUUUUCUCAAUGUCAAUCUACUCUUUUGGCUUCUGGGUCUCCUCCAAUCCACCCACUGGAUGAUAGAUUUGUAUUGGACGGUCAUACCUGUAAUGCUGGUACACUACUUCGCAACUCACCCAAUUGCAGAAUCCAAUGCUUUGAGAUCGAGCCUCGUCAUUCUUUUGACCUGGAUUUGGUCCUUGCGCCUCACUCACAGCUACUUCCGCCGCGAAAAGUGGCAGUGGGGUGCACGAGAAGACUGGAGAUUUAACGAUUUGCGGCGUCAGUACGGCACAAACUGGUGGUGGAUCUCAUUCUUUGCUGUCUAUCUUUCGCAGCAGGUUUUCUUGAUUGGAAUAUGCUUGCCUCUCUAUGUUGUCCACACAAAGGACGUGCAGAUUAAUGCCUGGGAUGUAGCUGCUGCCCUAGUUUGCUUAACUGGCGUCACAGUUGCAUAUUUCGCAGAUACGCAGCUUCACAAUUUCGUUAGCAGAAACGAGAGGCGGAAACAGCUCGGACAGUCCUUAGUGCCGAAUCUUGAUGAGGGUAUGUGGUACUACUCACGGCAUCCAAACUAUUUUGGCGAGCAGCUGUGGUGGUGGGGAUUGGCGCUCUUUGCUUGGAACUUGGAUUGUGGGUGGAGUUUUUAUGGUGCAUUCGUUAAUAGCUUGUGCUUGGCCUACGUUACAAUUCUUGUCGAGGAGCGAAUGUUGAAGCAGGAGUACCGGGCUCAGGCAUACAAGAAGUAUCAAGAAAGUACGUCUGUUUGGAUACCUUGGUUCAAGACAUCCUCAGCAGGGAAAGAGAAGGGGAUAUGAUUGCUCCGAGAGAUGCACAAGUGAGAUGCGUUGAGAGCGACAAAAAAGCACUUCUUAGCUUCAAGAAUGGCCUCAUUGACGAGCACGGUAUCCUCUCCUCGUGGCGGGGCAACGAAUGUUGCAAAUGGUACGGUGUUAAAUGCAGCAACACCACUAGCCACGUCGUCGCCCUCCAACUUAAUAAUGUUGAUUACGACUAUGGUGUAUUGCAAGUGGUGAAGCAAGGAGUUUAGCGUUGAGUCAAGUGGACCAAGCUCCUGACCGGUGAUCCUUCUAAGUUGUUGUAAUUUGGAAAUAAUAAUUCAUCUAUUUUCGCUUGUGAAUUAGGUGAAUGUAGUUUCACUUUGUUUUCAUUGUAUUUUACCUUUAUUUGUAUAUGUUGCAUCUAUAAAUGAAUGUUUGUAUUUUUA